UGAGGAUUCAAGAGUCGGUGACAACAGCCCUCAUAUUCAGCUCUGGGGAAGUGAUCUGCACAGGAGCCAAAAGGUAUGGAACAAAGUUUCCACAGUAUCCUACAGGCAGCUCACUGUGAGAAAAGGAGCAUUUGUGUGGAAGCUUACAGGAGGAGCAGCAUACUGUUCUUUGGCAGACUUCACACAAUACAGAACUAUAUCCCACACAUUACAGUCCCCAGGGUUAGGGGAAAGGAUUAGGAUCUAGUCCCCGGGGCCAUCAAGGAACUUAACUGGACUAUUAGAACUUGUUUUUAAACGUCAUUAAAACAACAGCAAGCGUCCGCAGUCAAGACAAGAUGCCACAAACCUAGGGGCAUUGUUGUGGGCUUUCCUCAUUGCAGAUAAGAGGGUAGAGCAAUCUAAACGGGACAUUUCUGGAUUCGCUCAGGAGGCUUCUCUGAAAAGAUUCCUCUUUCCUGGAUCUGCAGAGGAAGCCCUGGGCUGAUGUUUGCUCUUUCACCAUAGAGCUGCUGGGAGAGCUGCUGGGAGAGCUGCUGGGAGAGCUGCUGGGAGAGCUGCUGGGAGAGCUAGUGCUCUCCUUGUGUUAGAGGGAGAGCAAGCCCCAGUUUCUCCUCACUUGCAGAGGCACAAGUUACCCAUUUCUUCCUGUGAACAUGACUGCCAAUGUGCUUAUUUACGUCUGCUAAACCGUCAGCGAAGCUUACAUUGUCUAAAUUUAUAUUUUCUUGAUACAUUAGUGACAUUAAACACUUCUCCAUAACAUAUAAAAUGUAUGUCUUUGCCCAUAUUGUAGAGCUAUUUCUCUUUUGUUAAAAGUUUUUUGUAUCUUAUCUUUCAACUUUAUGCUGUAAAUAUUUCCCAAGAUUACUAUUUAUAAUUUUUUAAACGAGUUUUCUUCUUAAAUGCAAUAUAAAACUAUUUCUACACAGUAAGCUGAGGAAAUGAUUCCCGUUAUUUUUGAGUGUUUGGGAUUUUCUUAGAAGGCAUUCCUCUCUAGCACAUGUUAUAACCUCCAAGUUGUUUAGUCUUUUUCAAGUUUUAUCUUUUAUUAGGAGAAAAGAUACUGGCUUUUAGAUUUAUCUGAGCAUGCUCUGUGUAAAGGCAGUGUCCUAUGCCUCUGCUGCCCAGGGGUAGCUACUGGUCACUGUGGCCAUCAAGAAUUGGAAAUAUUUAAAUUGGAUAAAAUAGCCCUGGCAUUUUAAUUCAGUUUAAGGUAUAUCAAAAUAUCUGAUGUAAACCUCCUCUUUCUGAAGAAACUUCAGAGGAAAUCCAUUUAACGUGGUGGGGGUGAUCGGCUGGGAGAAGACAGGGGAAACUGGUCGGGUAUAGUAUAUGAGAGAAAUUUUUAAAAGACUUUAAAAAAUGUACAACUGGGGUUGGGGGUUUAGCUCAGUGGUAGAGCGCUUGCCUAGCAAGCGCAAGGCCCUGGGUUCGGUCCCCAACUCCGAGAAAAAAAAAAGAAAAAGAAAAAAAUGUACAACUUUAAUCUGCAACCUUCAGCUUGUUUUCCACUGUGGUGUGAUGUUAGGCUGCUAUGGAUGUUUUUGCUCAAUCCUUCAGGGGUUAUGGAGUAAUUCUAUCCACCAACCAGGACAAAAUCAAGUAGAGGUUAAGGGAUUUUUUCCCCCAAAUUCCACAGCUAUUAAAAAGGAAGAUGAGCGAAAUGUCAAGCUAGUUCCCAGGUCCAACUCUCUUCCCACCUUGGUUCCUGCAGGUUUUGCCAAACAUAAAAGUGUCCUUAGUAAAUCAAAUGAAUUUUCUUGUUCUGUUCCUAGGCCUUGAACUGGGAAUGCUGGGGGCACCCUAUUACUGAUUCUUUGAAUUGCCCACUACUGUUCCUUCCACUACUUGGCUCCUCAAGAGGACCCUGGGCCCCAGCGUCCCAACUCAGUCAGUUUCCAGGCACCAUCCCCGCCUCCAUCCUCCUCCCCUACCUCCGCUUCCAACCUAGGCUUCCCCUCCCAGCUUCUGGUUUCUAAACUCCUGGGACAAGUGCGCCAGGGCCCUGGCCUCUGGCCUCUGAACCCCGCCCCCGGCCUCUGAACCCCGCCCCUGGCCUCUGGGCUCCGCCCCUCAUCUCUGGGCCCCGGCCUCUGCUCUGCUCUACAUCCAAGAUGCCCCAGGAGGGAAACAAGACCCCACGUGACUCACCCUUCGGGCAGAUCUGUAUGGCGCUUCCCACUCGGAAGGGAUUCUGGGCUGCCGAAGCUUCUAGCUUUGGGUAGCUGCUGGUUGCGCCGUGUCUGUCAAACGACACUGAGGGGCUGCGCUGCAUGUGGCGAUGGAGCAGUGUCCUUUAUAUACCAUUGGGCUGUGCCAGCUGGGGACCGAACCCAGGGCCUUGCGCUUGCUAGGCAAGCGCUCUACCACUGAGCUAAAUCCCCAACCCCGUGGACUUAAUCUUAAUGAGGCGUGACUAAGUAAAUACCUGGAGUCUCCAUGAAGUCAAAGGUGCAGUGUCUGAGUCCGGAGGAAUGAAGAUCCGCUGGUGGACAGACAGUGCAAACAAAUGCUUCUGACCUAGAAGGCCCAGUGCCUGGAGGGAGAUGCAGGUGGGGUCCAAGGCCGUCUUCUUUUAGCCUCCUUCCCUAUCUUACUCUUCCUCAGAGAUCUGGGUCCAAACCUCAAGCAUGAGCCUUGCAGGAACCUCAUAUACUGUGAGCAACCAGCCACCAGCCACCAGCUAGACUGGAUUCUCUUCUUGUCCAAGUCUUCCUGUCCCCGAAGCUCUGGCAGAGUGGCCAUCCAGAAACAGUUCCUGGUAACUGCUCUCCUUGAGCUCUCUGAAUCCUGAUCCACCCACCGAACAGGCCUGCCAUAGCAAGACAACCCUCCUGCAGCUGGGGGUUGGGGAUGAGGGAGUGGGGGAGGGGGCUGGGUUGGGGGGCUGAGGUCUGACUGCGGAGAUAGGGCGUCCUCUGCUGUUAGGUGGAUACCUCAGUGACCUGCCUCACUGCGAGGGGGCAGUUUCGGCCAAGCCUAACAACCUGACUGUGAUCCCUGGGACUCUCGAGGUAGAAGGAGAGGACAGAUUCCUGCAAGUUGUUCUCUGACCUACUUGUGUAAGCCAUGGCGUGUGCGUGCCCCUCUCCCCAUGCAAUAAAUGCGUUUAUUUUUUUAAGAACAGAAACUUCAUUUUAAAAAGUUAGAUCAUGGGUCUCGUGAGACUGCUUAGUGGUUAAGAGCAUUUUCUGCUCUCUCAGAGGAACUGGGUUUGGUUUCCAGCACCCACACAGUAGCUCACGACCACGCUUGGUUCCUCUUUAGGGGACCUGAUGUCUUCUGACACCAGGCAUGUACAUAGUAGACGUGCAUUUAUGCAAGCAAAAAUACUUAUACACAUAAAUAAAUCUAAAACUUUCAACUGGGAAGGAUAGACUAGAAUCCGUGUCUGAUAACUUACUGGUUGAUUUUUUAAGAUUUUAAAAAUUCUGUGUAUACUAUAUGGGACUAUGUACACAUGUGUAUGGGUGCCUGUGGAGGCCAGAGGGAACCCCUGGAGCUGGAGUCAGAGGAGACUGUAAACAGUCAGACAUAGACGUGGCAAACUGAACUUGAGUUCUCUGCGAGAGCUGUGAGCACUCUUAACUGCUGAGCCAUUUCUAGUCCCUAAUCUGGAGUUCUAGGGUCUCAUUCUGUAGCCCAGGCUGGUGUCAAAGUCACUGUGUAGCUCAGGCUUGCCUUAACUAUGUCGCUCCUUCUGCCUCAGCCUCCUGAGUGCUGCCAUUCUGAGCCAGAGUAGGUCAGUGCCUCCUGGCUGUGCCCUCCCUGCUAAUACUCUUCGUGACUUUAUUUUUCCAUGGACUUCCAUGACUGAGAAUCUGUGGUAGAAAUACAUUGAGAUUUGAGUUGGAAAUCUGUCUCUUGGGGGAGGAUUUGUGUUUGCUUUGUAGAUGCUCCGUGCCCUUAGCAGUCAGUAAUAGCAGGCAGUGUCUGUCGGGAGGUUUUCAGAACAUGUGUGUAGGUAGUACCGACUGGGACUGCAGAGUCACGUAAAGGCUGGCUGUGAGUGUGAUUUCUUUCCCUUCCAUCCAGCCUCAUUGAGGAUGCACUUGGUUUUGGUCCUGUGGUUCAAGUUUCCUGCAGUGGCUCUACUAGAUGCUCCACCCUUGAUGAGCCCUGAGCUUCUUCCCCGAUGCACACGGUUUUCAAGCCUUGAGUUCAAGGCUACCGGAAUUCAGCGUUUGCCCUUGGUGUAAAGACUGCACCAUUUGCAGCUCUGAUCUCCGCCUUUGCCUCCGGCUUCUAAAAUCCAUCAUGUUCUUUCCAGCCCAGCAGUACUUUGAAAAAUCUGUGGUAUAUUUUAAUCUAGUAUUUGUGGGUGCUGUAUUGCAGUCAUUCAGACUAUCUUGGCUCUUCCCUUUUCAGAACAGAAGUUUUUUUGUUUGUUUGUUUUUUGUUUUUUUUUCUUUUUUUUUCUGGAGCUGGGGACAGAACCCAGGGCCUUGCGCUUGCUAGGCAAGCGCUCUACCACUGAGCUAAAUCCCCAACCCAGAACAGAAGUUUUAACUCGCUAUUUACUUUUUCGAAUAUCAAAAUGUUUUAUUAGCUAUGCAAGGGGGUGCGCAACUUCAAUCCCAGCACUCGGGAAGCAGAGGCAAGGUGACCAUGAAAUAAAAAUAAACAUGUUUGAAAACCAAAAGAAAAGCAUAAAAAUUAUUAUUGUAUCCACUUUAAGUAUAUAAUUCAGUAGUGUGAAGUAGGUUCAUCCCAUACAACCCACCUCCAGAGCUUCUGCACCUCCUCAAACUGCAACUGUGUACCAAUUAAAACAUCAGCUCUCUAUUCCCCACUCCUCUCUAGCCCAGUUUCUGGCAACUGUUGCUCUAAUCUCUGCUACUGUCUGAUACUGUUGAUACCUCGUGUGAAUGAAACUAGCUGUGCCUUCCCAUCACUGACUUAUUUCAUUUAGCACAGUGUCCUCAGCGUUAUCCAUGUAGUGACAUGGCUGCAAAUUUCCUUCCUUUCAAAAAUCUUGAGCCAUAUGCCUUUAACCCCAGGACUUGGGAGAUGGAGACAAUCAGGUCUCUAUGGGAUCCAGACAACUGAUGUUACACCAUGAGCUCCAGGCGCCAAGGGUACCCAGUGGGACCCUGUCACAAUGACCCACAUACCCCCCUCCACAAAAACUUGAAACUUAUAUUUCUGGAAGAUUGUUUUUUUAUUAUUUUUAACUGUGCAUAUGUUCACAUGAAUACAGGUCCCCACAGAGGCCAUACGUAAAACAUUUCUUGGAGCAUAAAUUAAAUUAUGAACCUUCUGGGCAUGAGUGCUGGGAACUGAACUCAAGUCCUCUGGGAGAGCAGAAAGUGCUCUAAAAAACUGAGCCAUCUCUCCAGUCCCAAUCUUGUAUUAUUGUAAAGACUUAUUUUAAGUGUUUUUUUGAUACAUGAAUGAAAAGAAAGAUAAAAAGCACACCGGUUUGGGGGCUGUCAAAAAGGAUCCGUGGAUAAGAACACCUGCCUUCCAUCAAGCCUUGGGACCUUAGUUCCAUCCCUGAGAUUUAAAUUGUGUAAGGAGGGGCUGGGGAUUUAGCUCAGCAGUAGAGCGCUUACCUAGGAAGCGCAAGGCCCUGGGUUUGGUCCCCAGCUCUGAAAAAAAGAACCAAAAAAAAAAAAAAAAAUUGUGUAAGGAUAGAACCAAUUCAUUGUCACAAGUUAUCCUUUGACCCUACAUUUGGCCCUCUCUUCCUAAAUAAGCAGAAUGAAAAUAAAAAUCAAAACAUACUGGUUUGAAAAGAAGUAGUUUCUUCUUAGUGUACAGGGGUUCUA
ensembl:lncRNA